rnacentral:rRNA from 1 species
CACGUAGGCACCAAGCGUUGUCCGGAUUUAUUGGGGCGUAAAGAGCUCGUAGGCGGUUCAGUAAGUCGGGUGUGAAAACUCUGGGCUUAACCCAGAGCCGCCACUCGAUACUGCUGUGACUUGAGUUCGGUAGGGGAGCAGGGAAUUCCUAGUGUAGGCGGUGAAAUGCGCAGAUAUUAGGAGGAACACCGGUGGCGAAGGCGCUGCUCUGGGCCGAUACUGACGCUGAGGAGCGAAAGCGUGGGUAGCAAACAGG